AGGACGAACGCUGGCGGCGCGCUUAACACAUGCAAGUCGAGCGAGAACCAGACCUUCGGGUCUGGGGAAAGCGGCGAACGGGUGAGUAACACGUGGGUAAUCAACCCUUGACACCGGGAUAGCCCGAGGAAACUCGGAUUAAUACCGGAUGGCCCAACAGUCUUUCGGGGCGGUUGGAAAAGGUAGCUUCGGCCUCCGGUCAGGGACGAGCCCGCGGUGGAUUAGCUUGUUGGUGAGGUAACGGCUCACCAAGGCGACGAUCCAUAGCUGGUCUGAGAGGACGAUCAGCCACACUGGGACUGAGACACGGCCCAGACUCCUACGGGAGGCAGCAGUGGGGAAUCUUGCACAAUGGGCGAAAGCCUGAUGCAGCGACGCCGCGUGAGGGAAGAAGGCUUUCGGGUUGUAAACCUCUUUCAGAAGGGACGAAGCUCCUCGGGUUAAUAGCCCAGAGGGUGACGGUACCUUCAGAAGAAGCCCCGGCUAACUACGCGCCAGCAGCCGCGGU
rnacentral:rRNA from 1 species